rnacentral:rRNA from 1 species
AUUGAACGCUGGCGGCAUGCCUUACACAUGCAAGUCGAACGGCAGCGGACCUUCGGGUGCCGGCGAGUGGCGAACGGGUGAGUAAUAUAUCGGAACGUACCUUUCAGUGGGGGAUAACGUAGCGAAAGUUACGCUAAUACCGCAUAUUCUGUGAGCAGGAAAGCAGGGGAUCGCAAGACCUUGCGCUGACUGAGCGGCCGAUAUCAGAUUAGCUAGUUGGUGAGGUAAAGGCUCACCAAGGCGACGAUCUGUAGCGGGUCUGAGAGGAUGAUCCGCCACACUGGAACUGAGACACGGUCCAGACUCCUACGGGAGGCAGCAGUGGGGAAUUUUGGACAAUGGGCGCAAGCCUGAUCCAGCCAUGCCGCGUGAGUGAAGAAGGCCUCGGUUGUAAGGCGUCUUCGGUCCGGGAAGGAAAUACGCACAGGUUAAUAACCCUCGUGUGGAGUGACGGUACCGGAAGUAAGAAGAC